GCUUAUUCUGUUUCUCUCAACCCUUACCAAUGGCGUCCACGAAACGCGAGUUCCAACCUGAAGACGAACCGGAAUCUGAACAACCUGAGUCCAAAAGGAUAAGGUCUGAUGCUGAUGGUUCGGAUUCUCCAAAAACACAGCCUUGCAGGAACUCCGUGGUUCUCAAUCACGCUGAUUGCAACUUAGAUUUCGACAUUGGAAAUGCUGGUCUUAAAGGUUCUGCCCUUCAUGAGGAGGGGUUUGCUUAUUGCUGGUCUGGUGCUCGUGCAAAUUUUGGAAUCACUGGGGGAAAGUAUUGUUUUGGUUGUAAAGUCGUCUCAGCUCAGCCUGUUAAUAUGGAAGACACACCCCAAGAUCAGCAGCAUGUCUGUCGUGUUGGUAUUUCUAGAGGAGAUGAUGCAGUAGGAAACCUUGGGGAGACUCAGCACAGCUUUGGUCUUGGGGGAACAGGAAAAUUUUCUACUGCUGGAAAAUUUUCGGAUUAUGGUGAAAAGUUUGGGGUUGGAGAUACAAUUGUCUGUGCGGUAGAUCUUGAAAGGAAACCAUUGGCUUCCAUAGGCUUCUCCAAGAAUGGAAAAUGGUUGGGCAUUGCAAAGGAAUUUGAUGCUGGUCCAAGGGGUCUUGGAGUGGUGGAUUCUGCCAUGAAAGAGCUACAAUGGGAAUCAGCCCUCUUUCCUCAUGUUCUAUUAAAGAAUGUUGUGGUUCAAUUGCAUUUUAGCGCUGAAGAUGGACUUGUUCCUGAAGAAGGGUAUAAACCUUGGGUUUCAGCUCUUGAAGAUGGAAAUGCAAUAAAAGGACCUGUUUUCCCUGAUGUAAGGGAUUGUGAAGUAAUGAUGAUGGUGGGUUUACCCGCUUCGGGUAAGACAACAUGGGCAGAUAAAUGGGUGAAAGAACAUCCCGAAAAGCGUUACGUUUUGCUUGGAACAAACCUGAUUCUGGAUCAGAUGAAGGUUCCUGGGCUAGUGCGCAAGAACAAUUAUGGUGAACGAUUUGAUCGCCUGAUGAGUCGAGCAAAUGCAAUAUUUGAUAUCCUACUGUCCAGGGCUGCCAGAACUCCUCGCAACUAUGUUAUUGAUCAAACUAAUGUUUUCAAGAGUGCACGCAAACGUAAAUUGAGACCCUUUGCAAAUUUCCGCAAGGUGCUUGCACAAUGAUAUCAUUCCUGUUAUUUAUAAAAGGAUAAUUUCACCUAUUGAUUUGAUUUUCAUAUGACAAAUCAGGUUGCUGUUGUGGUAUUUCCAAAACCAGAGGAGCAGAAAUUUCGUGCGGAUAAAAGAUAUAAAGAAAUGGGAAAGGAAGUUCCAGCUGAUGCUGUGAACAAUAUGUUAGCUAAUUAUGUUCUGCCCAAGAGCAAGGAUAUGCCUGGUUCAGAUGAAUUUUUUGAUCAGGUAAUAUUUGCUGAACUGGGUCAAGUAGAAUCACAGAGAUAUUUAGAGGAGAUGAAGCAUGGUCUAAAUACCAACUCUGCACCAUAUUACGAGGAAACUUUUGUUGCUUCAUCAGUGGGGCAGCCUUCAGUGCAAAAUCAAGGAGUUGGUGGACAUUGGGAAAGUUCUCAUCCUCCUCCUGCGUUGGGUCUACCUCAUUUGCUGAACUAUGGGUACCGAAUUACAAACCAACAGGAGAAGACACUACAUCAAGGACAAGGUUCUUUUUCUAGGGCACACCAAAGCUAUCAGUAUCCCUCUGUACCUAGAGCACCUGCACCUUAUAGUUCUUAUGAAAGUUUUGUUCCACCACACAAUGGGAACUCCGGAAGUUCUGGUGCUAUUCCUGGAUGUAGAAACGACCCAUACCAGAGCUAUAGGGCUGUUGACCCGUACAGCGGACGAAACCUUGAUGUCAAGAAUACUACGUUUGACCCUUAUAGGAGUACUGUGGUUGAAGCCUCCCCCGUUGGAACUAUGAGGCCGUCUUCAUUUACAUACAAUACUGCUGGAGGUCCUCAAAGUGUGCGGGCUCCCAUUGCACCCUCAUAUGGUCCUGGUGCUUGCCCUCCUUAUGGUAGUUACUCCAACAAUCUUUGACAUAUAGAUGUGCAUAUAUUUGUUCCCAAAAAAGGGAGCUGAUACCUUGGCAGUUGCAAUGAGGGCGUGACAAUGUGAAUCUUUUAAGCCAUUUGUGGAAUGGUCAACAUUUGGAUCUCGUUACUGUGUGUGGAACUGUAAUCAGCCUUUUUGUAUUGCAACUGGCAAGCUAAAAACUUCUCUCUUAAGAGAUAACAAAUCCUAGACUUGCAGAUUUCCGAUAUAACAGCAUUCUAGAUUUCUAGUGAUGAUUGAUAUUUUGGUUUAUUGUUUGCUUUUUAUUGGCUGUUGUCUUCUGAAUUUUUUAUUGGUUGCUUCAGGUUCACAUUAUGGAACUAAUCCUCGGCCAAUGUCUUCAUUCUCAACUCCCUCACCAAGACCCUCGAAUGGAAAUUUUCCAGGUGUUGUGCAGCAUCCUGAGGGAUAUAACCCUCCUUGUACAAGGUACUACUAAUUGGUGUGAAGUUUUUCUUUGCCAUUCUUCAGAGCUUCAGAAGAUAGAGAUUGCACUUAAAUCUCUCAAAAAUUAGAAAGCUUGAAGGACAAGUUGCAUCUCUGGAUUGUGUAAAUAUGGCCUUAAUGACACUUUUUUUUUUGUUUGUU
rnacentral:misc_RNA from 1 species